AUGGCGGACUCAAGGAACAAGUUUGCACAACCGGAUGAAGACACACCUUUUGGACGACACUUGAAGGAAGUCACUAGGUACCUGAACAUCGGAAUACCAAGCUUCACGGGGACCUACGCCGCCACUUUACCAGAAGAGGAGCGCUGGAUGAUUCGAGUUCAAGUUCCAGGAAGGACAUUCACGCCAGUUACGGAGCCCAUAGAGUUUUCCUUUGAUGCACCAACCUGGAGUCUAGGCAAGAGCAUGGCAGCCCACAUUGCUAUGGGACAAAUUGGAGAAGUCUACAAACAGGAGCUGAAGGACACUAUCUACCAGAUAUGCGGGCGCCGAGAUGAGCAAUGGGAGAUGAUCAGCACCAGGAGAGACAGGUCCAUUGCAGCUUUCAUCCAGGAGUUAAACCAGCACAAUUCGUUGACAGGAGAAUCAGAUUUGCGCAGGCAUGAUAGAUUUGAAGAAGGCGAUGACUAG
rnacentral:rRNA from 1 species